rnacentral:lncRNA from 1 species
AGGCAUACCGUUUCUACGGCAUACUUUAUUUAAAGCCGUCAGACAAAUGGAGAGUUUCUCUACAGCCGCAGUAUUUGAGGUGGAAAUAAUUGGCCAAGUCCCCCAGUUUCAAUUUUCCAGUUCACUCUCUCUCUCUAUCUUGCGAUGCUACUCUUUUGGGUUUUCACAGAAGUGUUGUUGACGCUUUGUGAUAUCUGAAUUGUGUCUCCUUGAGCCAUGUAUCAGAAGUAAUUUUGUUGGAGAGGGGAAUUGACAUGGAGUUUGAGCUUGGUUCCACUUCCAUUCUCGUGGAUAAGGCCUGGAAGGGAGAGAAUCUUGAAUUUCUACAAAGCCUUUUCCCCUCCUCACUGGUGCAUAUUGCAGUAGAAAUUGCUUCAAUUGCUCUAUAUCUGUGAUCUCAAACAAUUGUUGCUCCUGUGAAGAAGGGAUCCCACCAUUACCAUACUGCACUUGCAUAACUGCAUGAGUCGCCACAAAUUAUCUCCCAUAGAUUUCAAGCUUUGUUGUAUCAGAACCAUUAGUAUUAAAAAUUUAACUUAUUAU